CACGUAGUUAGCCGGUACUUCUUCUGCAGGUACCGUCACUUGCGCUUCUUCCCUGCUGAAAGCGGUUUACAACCCGAAGGCCGUCAUCCCGCACGCUGCGUCGCUGCAUCAGGGUUUCCCCCAUUGUGCAAUAUUCCCCACUGCUGCCUCCCGUAGGAGUCUGGGCCGUGUCUCAGUCCCAGUGUGGCCGGUCGCCCUCUCAGGCCGGCUACCCGUCGUCGUCUUGGUGAGCCAUUACCCUCACCAACAAACUGAUAGGCCGCGAGCCCAUCCCCAACCGAAAAAACUUUCCACCACCAGACAUGCGUCCGACGGUCGUAUCCGGUAUUAGACCCAGUUUCCCGGGCUUAUCCCGAAGUCAGGGGCAGGUUACUCACGUGUUACUCACCCGUUCGCCACUCAUCCACCCGGUGCAAGCACCAGGCUUCAGCGUUCGACUUGCAUGUGUUAAGCACGCAGCCAGCGUUCGUCCUGAGCCAGGAUCAAACUCU
rnacentral:rRNA from 1 species